AAGAGACUGACUGAAACUGACUCGGCAGGAUAUCGUAUCCUGGGCCUACUUAGUCUAUCAGGCAUAGACAUCAGAGUCGAAGUAGUUCGGACUGGGGAGACGACACAUGCUCGCUAGGAUGUCGCAUCCUAUGCAUACGUAUCUUCUCGGACGAGAGAAGAAUCAGAGCAUUCGUAGCUCGGCUGACACGCACACAAACAAACACAGGCAAAGGCAAACGGGGAGCCUAAAUGCCAAUCACUGGACUUAUAUCAGCAUCCGAACCUAAACUCACACAAAGAGGCACACGUGGAGCCUGAAUGCCAAUCGCUGGACUUACAUCAGCAUCCGAACCAAACACACGCACACUAGAACCUAACUGCCACUCGAUGGACUUACAUCAGCUUCCAAGCACACAACAACACAACAAGUUAAUAGGGAGUCGAGGACUCGAGCCUAUAACUGUCAAGCACGCACUCAGACAAACAGACAAUAAAUUGCUAAGGAGUCACAGACUCGAGCCUAGCAAAGGUCGGACAACACACACAAAAGAAAGAAAAGGCGCCCGGAGAGAUCAGCUCAAUCUCCUGCCUACAUACUUCAUCUGGUGUGAAGAUCAGGGCGAUG
rnacentral:lncRNA from 1 species